rnacentral:tRNA from 1 species
CAAAUUAAAGCUUUUAUUUAAGCAUUUUAUUUACAUUAAAAAGAAUAUUAUACAAUUAAUAUAGUUUGA